ACUCCUACGGGAGGCAGCAGUAGGGAAUAUUGCACAAUGGAGGAAACUCUGAUGCAGCGACGCCGCGUGAGUGACGAAGGCCUUCGGGUUGUAAAGCUCUGUUCUCUGGGAAAAAGAAAGUGAUUGUACCAGAGAAGAAAGGACCGGCUAACUUCGUGCCAGCAGCCGCGGUAAU
rnacentral:rRNA from 1 species